GUAACAGAUCUUACAGACCCAGCUCGAACCCAAAUGGGGGAGAGCGCUACUCUCAAAAUAGAGAAGGAGCCUAUCAAAGCACCCGUGGCUUUCAGGGAAAUUAUCAUAACAGCCGUCAGGGAAAUUUUAACGGCAGUAAUAGUAACAACUGGAACAAAGGAAAAGCAACGGAGGGCCGAACUGAUGCCACUCUCAAAUUGAAGUGCUUUUUAUGUGAA
rnacentral:lncRNA from 1 species